GAUUUGCCUAAUCAGCCUCAUUGAAGAGUAGCCUACGUGUGACAGGCUUAGAUUAUCUAUUAGUUUCAGACUGUUGAUACAGAAAGACGUAUGAAAAGUUGGAUUGCGCGUCCUUCUUGCACUCCUAAACUGCAGUAAAGAGCUCAAAACCUGAAGUGUUUUUAAUUGCCUUUGCAGCCCUCUGAAUGAAUGAGCCUGGAGGACUGAUGGAGAUGGCGGAGGUGUCUCGGCACUGACACGCGCCUGGCAGCUCUAUCUCAAAUCUUCCUGUCGACCUUCUAUCUGGAAUAUUUUUGUCUGGUACUGAAAGCUGCUCAUUGCGAAAUGGAAUACAAUCAGUGAAACACAACAUGUUUAUACCAAGUUCCUGCCCAAAAGGAUGACACUUACCUAAUUAACAGUUCCAUUGUUUAAGAAUUUU
rnacentral:lncRNA from 1 species